AGUGAACGCUGGCGGUAGGCCUAACACAUGCAAGUCGAACGGCAGCACAGUAAGAGCUUGCUCUUACGGGUGGCGAGUGGCGGACGGGUGAGGAAUACAUCGGAAUCUACUUUUUCGUGGGGGAUAACGUAGGGAAACUUACGCUAAUACCGCAUACGACCUACGGGUGAAAGCAGGGGAUCUUCGGACCUUGCGCGAUUGAACGAGCCGAUGUCGGAUUAGCUAGUUGGCGGGGUAAAGGCCCACCAAGGCGACGAUCCGUAGCUGGUCUGAGAGGAUGAUCAGCCACACUGGAACUGAGACACGGUCCAGACUCCUACGGGAGGCAGCAGUGGGGAAUAUUGGACGAUGGGCGCAAGCCUGAUCCAGCCAUACCGCGUGGGUGAAGAAGGCCUUCGGGUUGUAAAGCCCUUUUGUUGGGAAAGAAAAGCAGCAGGUUAAUACCCCGCUGUUCUGACGGUACCCAAAGAAUAAGCACCGGCUAACUUCGUG
rnacentral:rRNA from 1 species